rnacentral:rRNA from 1 species
GGUGCUAACGUCCGUAGUCAAGAGGAAAACAAUCCAGACCGCCAGCUAAGGCCCCAAAAUCAUAGUUAAGUGGGAAACGAUGUGGGAAGGCAUAGACAGCUAGGAGGUUGGCUUAGAAGCAGCCACCCUUUAAAGAAAGCGUAAUAGCUCACUAGUCGAGUCGGCCUGCGCGGAAGAUGUAACGGGGCUAAAACUAUGUGCCGAAGCUGCGGAUGCACAUUUAUGUGCGUGGUAGGGGAGCGUUCUGUAAGCCGAUGAAGGUGGAUUGAGAAGUCUGCUGGAGGUAUCAGAAGUGCGAAUGCUGACGUGAGUAACGACAAAACGGGUGAAAAACCCGUUCGCCGAAAGACCAAGGGUUCCAGUCCAACGUUAAUCGGGGCUGGGUGAGUCGACCCCUAAGGCGAGGCCGAAAGGCGUAGUCGAUGGGAAAUUGGUUAAUAUUCCAAUACUUCUGUGUAAUGCGAUGAGAGGACGGAGAAGGUUAGGUCAGCCUGGCGUUGGUUGUCCAGGUGGAAGACAGUAGGCAUGCAUCUUAGGCAAAUCCGGGGUGCUCUAUGCUGAGAGUCGAUAGCAAGCCAGUUUACUGGCGAAGUGGCCGAUACCAUACUUCCAAGAAAAGUCUCUAAGCUUCAGUUACACAGGAAUCGUACCCGAAACCGACACAGGUGGUCAGGUCGAGUAGACCAAGGCGCUUGAGAGAACUCUGCUGAAGGAACUAGGCAAAAUGGUACCGUAACUUCGGGAGAAGGUACGCUGCUGAUGGUGAUAGGACUUGCUCCUUGAGCUGUCGGCAGCCGCAGAAACCAGGCCGCUGCAACUGUUUAUUAAAAACAUAGCACUCUGCAAACACGAAAGUGGACGUAUAGGGUGUGAUGCCUGCCCGGUGCUGGAAGGUUAAUUGAUGGGGUUAGCGUAAGCGAAGCUCUUGAUCGAAGCCCCAGUAAACGGCGGCCGUAACUAUAACGGUCCUAAGGUAGCGAAAUUCCUUGUCGGGUAAGUUCCGACCUGCACGAAUGGCAUAAUGAUGGCGGCGCUGUCUCCAGCAGAGGCUCAGUGAAAUCGAAAUCGCUGUGAAGAUGCAGUGUACCCGCGGCUAGACGGAAAGACCCCGUGAACCUUUACUGCAGCUUGACACUGAACUUUGACCUUACUUGUGUAGGAUAGGUGGGAGGCUUUGAAGUAGGGACGCCAGUUCCUAUGGAGCCAUCCUUGAAAUACCACCCUGGUAAUGUUGAGGUUCUAACUCUGACCCAUAAUCUGGGUCGAGGACCGUGUCUGGUGGGUAGUUUGACUGGGGCGGUCUCCUCCUAAAGAGUAACGGAGGAGUACGAAGGUGCGCUCAGCGUGGUCGGAAAUCACGCGUAGAGUAUAAAGGCAAAAGCGCGCUUAACUGCGAGACCCACAAGUCGAGCAGGUACGAAAGUAGGUCUUAGUGAUCCGGUGGUUCUGUAUGGAAGGGCCAUCGCUCAACGGAUAAAAGGUACUCUGGGGAUAACAGGCUGAUACCGCCCAAGAGUUCAUAUCGACGGCGGUGUUUGGCACCUCGAUGUCGGCUCAUCUCAUCCUGGGGCUGAAGCAGGUCCCAAGGGUAUGGCUGUUCGCCAUUUAAAGAGGUACGCGAGCUGGGUUUAGAACGUCGUGAGACAGUUCGGUCCCUAUCUACCGUGGGCGCUGGAAAUUUGAGAGGAUCUGCUCCUAGUACGAGAGGACCAGAGUGGACGAACCUCUGGUGUACCGGUUGUGACGCCAGUCGCAUCGCCGGGUAGCUAUGUUCGGAAGGGAUAACCGCUGAAAGCAUCUAAGCGGGAAGCCUACCUCAAGAUAAGAUUUCCCCGUGACUUUAUGUCACCUAAAGAGCCGUUCAAGACCAGGACGUUGAUAGGUUGGAUGUGGAAGCAUAGUGAUAUGUGAAGCUGACCAAUACUAAUUGCUCGUGAGGCUUGACU